GCAGGAUGUAGCUCAUGGAGAGCGUCGGGGUGACCCGAAGGCAUCGGUUCGAUUCCGGUCUCUUGUACCA
rnacentral:tRNA from 1 species